rnacentral:rRNA from 1 species
CGGGGUGAGUAAUGCUUGGGAAUCUGGCUUAUGGAGGGGGAUAACUACGGGAAACUGUAGCUAAUACCGCGUAAUGUCGAGAGACGAAAGUGCGGGACCGAAAGGCCGCAUGCCAUGAGAUGAGCCCAAGUGGGAUUAGGUAGUUGGUGGGGUAAAGGCCUACCAAGCCUGCGAUCUCUAGCUGGUCUGAGAGGAUGGCCAGCCACACUGGAACUGAGACACGGUCCAG